rnacentral:lncRNA from 1 species
GGAUAACAAAGUGUGGAAAGAAUGAGAGCAGCAGUGUGAGUAACAACAAUAUGAGAAUAACAUCAGCAAUAUGAGAAUAGCAGCAGCAACAGAACCAAUGUAGACAAACAAAUAGAACCCAAUAGUGUAAAGUAAUCAACCCAGGUUACUCAAUCUUGGCUUUUAGCCGAUUGAGUGUUCAAAGAAGAGAAUGAGAGAGUAUAGUAAUAGCAGAGAAAA